UCGAGAAUAGUCUACAAUGGACGAAAGUCUGAUAGUGCGACGCCGCGUGAACGAAGAGACCUUUCGGGGUGUAAAGUUCUUUUCUGUGCGAGCAGUGGUGGUUACAGUAAUAUGGUGAUCACUUUGAUAUUAGUACAGGAAUAAGCCACGGCUAACUCCGUGCCAGCAGCCGCGGUAACACGGGGGUGGCAAGCGUUGUCAGGAAUUGCUAGGCGUAAAGGGCAGGUAGGCGGAUCAGUAAGUCGGACGUUUAAUCCUCGGUCUUAAGCUGAGACAUGCGGUUGAUACUGUUGAGCUAGAAUGCGGCGGGGGAAGACGUAAUUCCGGGUGUAGCGGUGGAAUGCGCAGAUAUCCGGAACACCGAAGGCGAAGGCAGUCUUCCAUACCGUAAUUGACGCUGAACUGCGAAGGUGUGGGGAUCAAACA
rnacentral:rRNA from 1 species